GUCAUCACAAUACACACAAGGGCGUUUACGGGCAUUGGCAUUAAAUAGACUUUCUCGUCUACUCCCCUUUCGUCUCUCUUUGUCACCGUCCUUGACAAUCUCUUUAUCACUAAGGUUUAUGUCCCUCCAUUGUUUUAAAGCUCUAAUAAGAUGUGCUAAAUCCCAUUCUUGCCAAUUCCCUUGCCCUCUCACUAAGUCACUCUUUAUCCCUGGCAAUUUGUCAAGCAAACUUCGUGUCAUUCCAUUCACACGCUCAACUUUUCCCAUUGUUUCAAGUGAUUGUACAUUAAAAAGCAGAAUUUUAUAGAAAUUGUUUAUCUCACCUGGAUCAGUACUUUUCACCACUGGUAACUCGAGAAUGUUCUGGACAUAGGCAUUGACAAUUUCGCUCGGUUUGCCGUACUCUCCUUUCAAGAUAUUUUUUGCCCUUUCAUACCCGUAGAGCGGUUAGAGGCAACCCAUCGAUAUCAGCUCUCACCUUCGGCUUAACAAACUCUUUCAAAUAGGUAAACUUCGUAACGGGCGACAGAUCGGCACCGUCAAUUUCAGCAACAAAUUUGUUCCAAAAGGGUGGCCAAUUCGCACAUUUCCCAUCGAACUGCGUAAUAGAUAGCUUCGGUAAUUUUGUCGACGCCGCUUUCUUUACUUGGUUUUGCUGUCCCGUUGCUAACACCUUCUGAAACUUUAGCUGUUGUUCAUAAAGUUCACGUUCGUGACUCAUUUUUUGUUCGUGCUUUUCGUCCUCGAUUGCCCUCUCUUGUUUAACUGAUUCGGCCAAUUCAACGGCCUGGUUUUCCUUCGCUAUAUUUUCUUUUAUUCGUUUUAAUUCUAACAAUUUCUCGUCGCCCGUUUUCAAAGUUCCUUCAAUGUCGACGAGCCAUUCUUGCACUUGCUCUUCAGUUUGUUCCUGACCGAAUUUCAAUUCUAUAAUGUCAUCUUUUAAGGCGUGACUCGCUUCGAUUUUACCUUUGAUUGACGCUUCGUGUCUAGUUAUCACAUCGAGGUUUCUCGUUUCGAUUUCUUGUUCGCUUUUACUCAACGUAAAU